CUUUUGUAUAAUGGGUCAGCGACUUAUAUUCUGUAGCAAGGUUAACCGAAUAGGGGAGCCGAAGGGAAACCGAGUCUUAACUGGGCGUUAAGUUGCAGGGUAUAGACCCGAAACCCGGUGAUCUAGCCAUGGGCAGGUUGAAGGUUGGGUAACACUAACUGGAGGACCGAACCGACUAAUGUUGAAAAAUUAGCGGAUGACUUGUGGCUGGGGGUGAAAGGCCAAUCAAACCGGGAGAUAGCUGGUUCUCCCCGAAAGCUAUUUAGGUAGCGCCUCGUGAAUUCAUCUCCGGGGGUAGAGCACUGUUUCGGCAAGGGGGUCAUCCCGACUUACCAACCCGAUGCAAACUGCGAAUACCGGAGAAUGUUAUCACGGGAGACACACGGCGGGUGCUAACGUCCGUCGUGAAGAGGGAAACAACCCAGACCGCCAGCUAAGGUCCCAAAGUCAUGGUUAAGUGGGAAACGAUGUGGGAAGGCCCAGACAGCCAGGAUGUUGGCUUAGAAGCAGCCAUCAUUUAAAGAAAGCGUAAUAGCUCACUGGUCGAGUCGGCCUGCGCGGAAGAUGUAACGGGGCUAAACCAUGCACCGAAGCUGCGGCAGCGACACUAUGUGUUGUUGGGUAGGGGAGCGUUCUGUAAGCCUGUGAAGGUGUGCUGUGAGGCAUGCUGGAGGUAUCAGAAGUGCGAAUGCUGACAUAAGUAACGAUAAAGCGGGUGAAAAGCCCGCUCGCCGGAAGACCAAGGG
rnacentral:rRNA from 1 species